UGACGGGCAUUGGUACGAGUACCGAUGUUAUAAAGGGAAAGUUUAUUACUAUAGAAUGCGGAUUGUAAUUCGAGAAUGCCAAAGCAUAUGGGCAUUAGUUGAUAUAUUAUUGACUUGAUUUAUUAUGUGUGAUUGUGUUCUUUAUUGAACCCGUAUACUGGUGAUAGCUGAGGUGAUUACAUAUCAUAUUGAUAUUUAAUUGAGAUGCAUCAUCCCUU
rnacentral:lncRNA from 1 species